rnacentral:tRNA from 1 species
CUUGAUGUGGUCUAGUGGUUAGGAUUUCGGCUCUCACCCGCAAGGCCCGGGUUCGAUUCCCGGCAUCGGAA